ensembl:misc_RNA Y_RNA Y RNA
GGCUGGUCUAAAAGUAGUGAGUUAUCUCAAUUGAUUGUUCAUUGUCAGUUACAGUUCAAAUUCCAUAUUCUACUUUUCCCCUUCUCACUACUGCACUUGACUAGGCUUAA